UCCCUCCAAGGAUCACACCUGGAGAGUUUCCAGUACUCUACCAGUCUCAGCUACAGGAGGGAGAGUAAAGCAGAAGCAUAUCCAUUCCAUUACCUAGCUUGGGCAGUGGCUAGUGAGUGGAAAGCAAUCUGCUACAAGU